UUGAAGCAAGCCCAGAUUACCUAACUUGGAGAGCCCUAGGAGAGCUUGCUUGAGCAAGUCCUAACCUCCUGAGACGGAGGUACUCUUUGUCCUCUACCACAUGGACAAACAUCUUCUGCUGUUUCCAGAAGGCAGCCCCACAGUAUUGGAGCUAUUAACUGAUCCAGUGAUGCAGUGAUUCCCACCAGAUCCUCAAGUUUGAGCCAUAUGACCUUGAAGUCAAGAAUCCCAGCAAAGUGGACAGCCAGGAGUGUUAAAUCUAACAGGGAUCCCUGGUGGAGUGAAAAUACCUGGGACUUGAGUUGGAGGUGGGUUUUGGUGCUGGAACAAAGGUUGUCCUCUAAAAACUAAAUUAAGGAAUGGAACAUAAUUCUCUCAUCCUCCCCAGAGACUGAUGUAAAAUAAAGGAGGGGCAUUAUGUCUCCUACAUAUUGAGAAA